rnacentral:rRNA from 1 species
CCUACGGGUGGCAGCAGUGGGGAAUAUUGGACAAUGGGCGAAAGCCUGAUCCAGCCAUGCCGCGUGUGUGAAGAAGGCCUUCGGGUUGUAAAGCACUUUCAGUGGGGAAGAAAGCCUUGGGGCUAAUACCCUCGAGGAAGGACAUCACCCACAGAAGAAGCACCGGCUAACUCCGUGCCAGCAGCCGCGGUAAUACGGAGGGUGCGAGCGUUAAUCGGAAUUACUGGGCGUAAAGCGCGCGUAGGCGGUCUGAUAAGCCGGUUGUGAAAGCCCCGGGCUCAACCUGGGAACGGCAUCCGGAACUGUCAGGCUAGAGUGAAGGAGGGGAAGGUAGAAUUCCCGGUGUAGCGGUGAAAUGCGUAGAGAUCGGGGGAAUACCAGUGGCGAAGGCGGCCUUCUGGACUGACACUGACGCUGAGGUGCGAAAGCGUGGGUAGCAAACAGGAUUAGAUACCCGGGUAGUC